rnacentral:rRNA from 1 species
GCUCAGGAUGAACGCUGGCGGCGUGCUUAACACAUGCAAGUCGAACGAGCCUUCGGGCUAGUGGCGGACGGGUGAGUAACGCGUGGGAAUCUGCCCUCAGGAGGGGGAUAACGGCCGGAAACGGCCGCUAAUACCCCAUAUGCCGAGAGGUGAAACGAAUUUCGCCUGGGGAUGAGCCCGCGUCUGAUUAGCUAGUUGGUGAGGUAAUGGCUCACCAAGGCWUCGAUCAGUAGCUGGUCUGAGAGGAUGAUCAGCCACACUGGGACUGAGACACGGCCCAGACUCCUACGGGAGGCAGCAGUGGGGAAUUUUCCGCAAUGGGCGCAAGCCUGACGGAGCAACGCCGCGUGAGGGACGAAGGCCUCUGGGCUGUAAACCUCUUUUCUCAAGGAAGAAGACAUGACGGUACUUGAGGAAUAAGCCACGGCUAAUUCCGUGCCAGCAGCCGCGGUAAUACGGGAGUGGCAAGCGUUAUCCGGAAUUAUUGGGCGUAAAGCGUCCGCAGGCGGCCUUGAAAGUCUGUUGUUAAAGCGUGGAGCUCAACUCCAUUUMAGCAAUGGAAACUACAAGGCUAGAGUGUGGUAGGGGCAGAGGGAAUUCCCGGUGUAGCGGUGAAAUGCGUAGAUAUCGGGAAGAACACCAGUGGCGAAGGCGCUCUGCUGGGCCAUAACUGACGCUCAUGGACGAAAGCCAGGGGAGCGAAAGGGAUUAGAUACCCCUGUAGUCCUGGCCGUAAACGAUGAACACUAGGUGUCGGGAGAAUUAACCCUUCCGGUGUCGUAGCCAACGCGUUAAGUGUUCCGCCUGGGGAGUACGCACGCAAGUGUGAAACUCAAAGGAAUUGACGGGGGCCCGCACAAGCGGUGGAGUAUGUGGUUUAAUUCGAUGCAACGCGAAGAACCUUACCAGGGUUUGACAUCCUGCGAAUCCCUUGGAAACUUGGGAGUGCCUUCGGGAACGCAGUGACAGGUGGUGCAUGGCUGUCGUCAGCUCGUGUCGUGAGAUGUUGGGUUAAGUCCCGCAACGAGCGCAACCCACGUCUUUAGUUGCCAGCAUUCAGUUGGGCACUCUAGAGAGACCGCCGGUGAUAAACCGGAGGAAGGUGUGGAUGACGUCAAGUCAUCAUGCCCCUUACAUCCUGGGCUACACACGUACUACAAUGCUACGGACAAAGGGCAGCAAACUCGCGAGAGCUAGCAAAUCCCAUAAACCGUGGCUCAGUUCAGAUCGUAGGCUGCAACUCGCCUACGUGAAGGAGGAAUCGCUAGUAAUCGCAGGUCAGCAUACUGCGGUGAAUACGUUCCCGGGCCUUGUACACACCGCCCGUCACACCAUGGAAGUUGGCCAUGCCCGAAGUCGUUACUCCAACCCGCAAGGGAGGAGGACGCCGAAGGUGGGGCUGAUGACUGGGGUGAAGUCGU